rnacentral:rRNA from 1 species
UACGAAGGGGGCUAGCGUUGAUCGGAAUCACUGGGCGUAAAGGGUGCGUAGGCGGGUUUUUAAGUCAGGGGUGAAAUCCUGGAGCUCAACUCCAGAACUGCCUUUGAUACUGAAGAUCUUGAGUUCGGGAGAGGUGAGUGGAACUGCGAGUGUAGAGGUGAAAUUCGUAGAUAUUCGCAAGAACACCAGUGGCGAAGGCGGCUCACUGGCCCGGUACUGACGCUGAGGCACGAAAGCGUGGGGAGCAAACAGG